CAUGCCACAAGAAGUGUUUCAUCUUGCCGUGAACUUGUAUUUCUACGCAUGGCUCUGUAGGCUUGUGAUAUUCGGUUCGAGAACAUAUUAUUGGUUUUGUUGAAUGAUACACAUUCUAAGUAGUUCAUAUCCAUAUCUAACUGAGUAAAUCCUAGAUUUCGUGUGAUUUCAAGCAUAUCCAUCUAAAGAAAAAUGAACUGCUACGUCUCAGCCCAAGAAUCAAUAGUAUAUCUUUAUGGUGGAAAAACUCCAGUAAAAAAAGAAAGAAUCCGACUCUUUGAUAUCAUUCAUGAUAAAAAAAAAAGUGAACAAAAGAUUGAGAUUGUUUGUAAACGACGCGGUUUCAAGUUAUAUCUGAGUAUAAAUUUAUGAUUUAUCUAAAAAGAUCUAGUUCAACUUAAGUCAUCCAUACGGGUGAAAGUGGUAAGCAAUUAUCAAUAUAUUGAGAUCAUAUCAAAUUACUUUGUCACAUUGUUUUCAUUACCUUAAUUUUCGAGAAUACAACAAAUUAACAUAAGGAAUUUCCUAUCUUUUUAUUAGUACAAUGAUAUUUUUUAAAGUAAAUAUUUUAAAAUGAAAUUGACAAAAAAUUUGAGACAAAGCUCAUAUGUGUUGAUACUCAAAUGUAUUGAUAAAAGAGAAAUCUUAAAGUUUUUGAUUCAUCUACUUCUUAUGUAUAUUGAUUUCUAUAUCUUAAACGCUAUUGGCAGACCGAGAAAAAAAAAACAAAAACGCUACUGGUAGAAGUGAAGUUGGGUCCAAUGGACAGAAAAAACCGAAAUACUUUUCUAACAUGGGAACAUAAGCAAGUCUUUGCACAAAAGAAGAAAAGUAUAAGUCUUUCUACCGUGUCUUGGCGGGCAAGUGUAAGGACAAAAUUAGUUUUGAAAUAGUAAAAAAUCAUCAUCAAUGAUAAUGAUGUAACCAAUGAAGAUGUAUAAAUAAAUCAGCUCAUAUCUUGCACAAAAGUCUAUAUAAAUCAUCUCUUCUCUUUACUUCUGUUUACAUCUAGUCUUUACGGUUUCUAUAGAACAUAUCUUCAACUAACUAAUGGCUAACAAGCUCUUGUAUUUUGUAUUGAUGGCGGUGUUUCUACUGUUUAGUGUGUCCAAAAUCUGGUGGGAAACUCCUAAUAAACGGCGAGUUUACUCGACAAUGGAAUUGGUCGAUAAACUUUUUAAAUCGGGAAAAGCGUUACUUCAUAUCGGAUUCGAUGAAGAUCAAGAGUACUUUAAAUCUUAUUUUCUGCUAUAGACUAUUACAUCAGGUUAGCAUGUGUUAUAUAUGGUUUUCUCAAUGGCUAUUGUUGUGUUUUUUGUUUAUAAUAAAAGUAAAACAGUUAUGUAAUCAAAGUCAAAACUAUAUAUGCAUCAUGGAUAAAAUGGUUAAAAGAAAUCUUCGACAUGCCGAACGUUUCAGACAUGUAUUUCAUAGGACAAUUCGGAAUAGUACAGUCAGACGUGUAUUCUAAUCAGAGGCGGAUCCAUGUGCAUAGAAAGAAUGUCAGCUGACACACCUUAAAUAUAAAAAAUAGGUUUGUUACUUUUAAAGAAUAUAAAUUCUUCAACUCUGAUGGCUAUUUUCUUUAUGGCUGACACCCCUUAACCUGAGUUCUAUCCCAUUUGACACUUUAUUUUUAUUUCCUUUUAUCUCUUCUUUUACUUACACAAUUAAAGCUCAUUAUUUAUGACCCAGAUUUAAAUAAGUUUUCGGUCCGCCACUUAUGGUAGUAGAAUUAUCGGCGGUAAAAUAGUCUAUAUAAUAUUUUUGUUGUUGUAAUAACAUAAUUAAAUUAGAGAUUUAAAAAAAAUGAAAGUCAUCAAAACUAUAACCACAGAAACGGGUCAUGUGUCGGCAGAUUCAACUUGGGUUAAUAAGCUGGCGAACUGAAAGCGCAGCCAAGACUCCUAGUUUUGCUCUGGCGAAUACUUUAAAACACAUUUUCUGUAUAUUUUGAAAGUUUUCUGUUCAAAUAAGCUUUUGUAAGAUACUACUACUAUGCAAGGAAAUAUUCGAACAUAUCUUAGCAAUACAUAGUUGAGUUAAAUAAGUAUUUGCUCGAUUACCGAGACUAAUGCGUCCGCCAAACACUCGUGCUUUGCUUUUAUAGCAUGUUGCCAAUUUGUCAGACAAUGUUUAUUGACUAAUCAUUAUUUUUAUAAUUUUCUAGAAGAAUCAAAAGUUCUUAAUGUUUUACUUUGCUUUUAUGAGAAUGAUAUACUGUAUGUUUUCUUUUAUAAUUUUUUUUGGUGCAAAUUUUCUUCAAAAAUUGUUUAUUCGUAAUUCUACAUUUUUAAUUUUAAUUUGUUUUCAUGAAAAUAACACAGUAUAUAAAUACUUAUUUGCUAUUUCUAAAUCGAUAUGCUUUUGUUCUGCCAUCAUACUUAAAUUAUUACCAGAAUUUACGAUGGUAAAAAUUGAUUUUUAAUCUCCGUGCAUGCUUCCCAACCAAAUAUUCUCUUGUUUCUGACUGUACAAAUGUAUUUGCUUUACAUUAUUUAAAAAAUCUGACAAUAAUAGCAAUACACAAUAUAUGCGUUUUUAAUGCAUAUAAGAUUUAUUAAUUAAAAAAAAACUGGUUACAUGGUUUAGUUUAUGCUGCUUAUCGACGUGGGAACAUACUUGUAAUAUACCUUAUAUAUUUGGUCGUCCGUUUAAUCAAAAUUAUGCCCCCCCCUUGUUUUUGUUUGUGUUGAAGAUACGUAUUGUCAAUGUAUAAGAGAGUUAGAACAUAAUUAUGACUCUUGAGACUUGUUAUAUUUUAUUAUAAGUAACCCAAAACAUAAGCAAGAGAAUAUUGAUCGCGCGUGGAUAACGACACAACGUAUAAGAAACAUGAGACAUGUCACAAUCACUAUGAAAGUUUUCCAAUCAGAACUCGAGUAAACGCAGAUGAUUUUAUGUAUAAUAUACUUUCAAAAAUUAAUUAUACUAAAGCAUUUCUUUUGGGAUCUGAGUUUUAAUUAGACUGCCUGAAAUUUCCAUGUUGAAUGACAUUCUUUCAAACUGCAAGCGGUGGAGUUUCUAGACUUUGAAAGGGAAAAUAAAGCAUCUCGGUCGACGUAUACAAAGUACAGAAACAUUGUACACUGUGGGUAACUCGAAGCUUUACAUAUGUUUGAAGCACUCUGAUUAUAAUGAUAACUAGUAGGACGGGACAAAAUAUCUCGAACCGAAGAACAUACCCGAAACCGAUUAAAAAACCAGGGUUCCGAACCGAUCGGACCGGAGAAAAUAACCGAAUGGGUUCUAAAUUGAUGUAUCCGACGAAUUGGUACCCAACUCGAUCCGAACCGAGAAUCGAAUGAGUAUUCGAAGAUAUCCGAAAUGUAAAUUUAUAUUUACAAAUAUUAUUUAUAAUUAUAUGUAUAAUUGUUUUAAUAAUUAAAAUUAAAAUUAUAAAUUAAAUAUAUUAGUUAUUUUCAAUACUUUUGUGUAUUUUCGGAUAAAAUAUGAUAGUUUGGAUAAAAAUACUCAAACAAAACCGUAUCUAAUGAGUAUUUUUGGUUAUUUUUUGGUACAUUUGGGUAGUUUUGAUACACAAUAUCUGAAUCGAAUUAGAUAAUAUUGUUACUUUGGGUACUAUUAUCCGAACUCGUUUCAGAUACAUUGGUUAUUCGGUUAUUUUCAGGUUCCUUUACAUCAGAACCGAACCCACCCGGACCCGGGAGGACCCGGCCCAAAAUUUUGUACUACCCGAACAAGGCCUAAUUUCCAAACCCGAAAAACCCGAUACCCGAAAGAACCGACCUGUACCCGAACGGGUGUUCGAAUGCCCAUGCCUAAUAACUAGAGAUUGAUCCCGCUCACCCGAGCGGAUGUUUGUUUUUACUUUUUUAUAAGUAAAUUUUUGUUUUGUAUAAAUGGUAUAUAUAUAUUUAUAAUUAAACGUAUAUGUUGAUGGUUGACACGUGAAACCGCACAAGUAUUUAUUUUUACGUUUUUAUAAGUAAUUUUUUGUAUAAAUGGUAUAAUAUACGUUAUGAAUCAAUCAAAAUAGUUGAGGUAUAUGUUCCCUAUUUUUAGUCGUCUGCGUAAAUCAAUAGUAUUGUGAUACUGUUAUGAACAUAAUUUUUUGCUUAGCUAGAUUAUAGAAAGUAUUACCUAAAGGCUAAAUCUAUCGUACAUGGUUUCAUUUAGAAUAAGAUAGAUUAUAGAAAGUAGUUUAGACCCAAAUAUAUAUAUAUAUAUAUAAAGAUUACGAUUUAAUUAACAAAUGAUUGAGUUUUUAAUAAAUAGAGAAUAUUCUUAAAUAUUUUUGUGAUAAAAAUUGAUUAUGUUUGUUAUUUACGAUUUUACAUAAAUAGCAAAAUUUUGUAAAAUCGCGAAUUAUGAUUUUGAAGAAUGUAUGGAUGGAUGUUUUUCCUUGUUAGUUAUAAUAAGGGUAACCUAAAUGUAGAUUAGUAUAUAGUACUUAAAGCUUUAAAACACAUAUAUAAAGAAUAAUAAAUUUGAUAAACAUUUUUUAAAUGCAAAACAUAUAUGUGUGAAGAAGAAGAGUUACAUGGGUGGACAUUUGCAAAGAAAUUCAGUUUUAUUAGGAAGAAUAGUUUGGAGGAGGUUAGCAAAUCUUAAAAUGUAAAAUACAAAUUUUAUAUAAAAAAUGUAAAUACAAAAUGAGAAAACAUAUACUAAUAAGGCAGAAACUUUAAUCAUUCUUCUGUUUUGUUGGAGUGCAAGAUUUGAACCGAUUGCAGGGUCGAGUGAUUGCUAUUUUAAUUUGUAUUUACAUUUGUUGUGUUAUGAAUCUGUGUAUUGUGAAGUUGUAAUGGUCGAGAUAUAUAAAUUGAAGGUGUAUUGAGAUGAUGGCCAUCUAGCUUUUGAAAACAACUUACAAUAAUAUUUUAUUUGUCGACAUAAAAUUUUAAUAUUACUAUAUGUUAGUACAAAAAUUAACCAAAUUGUUUAUGUAUUAGAUUUAGGAUAUUAUUUGUCAAAUUAGGAAAACCAAUAAUUGCUUAAAUUUAGGUUUAGUCAUUACUCCAAUGGCAUAUAUCUGUAAAUAAUUUGUAAGUCUUAGAGUUAAUUAUAAAUUGUACUUAUGUUUUAAUAGAUUAGAUGAUGGUGGUUGACCCGUGAAACCGCACAAGUAUUUGUUUUUACGUUUUUAUAAGUAAUUUUUUGUAUAAAUGGUAUAAUAUAUGUAAUAAAUCAAUCAAAAUAGUUGAGGUAUAUGUUCCCUAUAUUUAGUCGCCUGCCUAAAUAUAUACCAUUGAUGAUACUGUUAUGAAUAUAAUUUUUUGCUUAGCUAGAUUAUAGAAAGUAUCACCUAAAGGUUAAAUCUAACGUACAUGGUUUCAUUUAGAAUAAGAUAGAUUAUAUAAAGUAGUUUAGACCCAAAUAUAUAGAAAGAUUACGAUUUAAUUAACAAAUGAUUGAAUUUUAAUAAAUAGAGAUAUUCUUAAAUAUUGUUGUGAUAAAAUUUUAUUAUAUUUGUUAUUUACGAUUUUAAAUAAAUAGCAAACUUUUGUAACAAUAAAAUCGUCAAUUAUGAUUUUGAAGAAUGUGUGGAUGGAUGUUUUUCCUUGUUAGUUAUAAUAAGGGUAACCUAAAUGUAUAGAAGUAUAUAGUACUUAAAGCUUUAAAACACAUAUAAAGAAUAAUAAAUUUGAUAAACUAAAUCACUCGGAUAUAUAUUAAAAUUUAUUUUGAUAAUGAAAUUGAUUGUGUAUUAGAUUUAGGAUAUUAUUUGUCAAAUUAGGAAAAACAAUAAUUGCUUAAAUUUAGGUUUAGGUUUAGUUAUGAUUCCAAUGGCAUAUAUUUGUAAAUAAGUUGUAAGUCUUAGAGUUAAUUCUAAAUUGUACUUAUGUUUUAAUAGAUCAGAUGAGAUAAUGACUAUAUAAGUGCAUUUAUUAGCUCGAUCUGUUGGAAAUGUAAUGUUUUCAUGUUGUUUUUUCUUUUGAACGAAAUGUUUUAGGUGGGCUUAUUGAAUUAGGGAUUUGAGAAGGUUUUUAAGAUUUUAAGAUUUAGAGGGUUUUGUUGAAUUUAAGGAUUUUGAUGGAGGAUUUUGUUGUUGAUGGAGAUUUAAAAGGAGAACUAAAUUUUGAUCCGCGCUUAGAAAGCGCAGAUUUAUUUUUGAAAUUAAAUAAAAUUUUAAUGAAUUUCUAAAUAAUAUAAUGCAUAGAUCUGAUAACAUUUAUCGUAGAACGAACCAUACCAAACUGAAAAAACGAAACCAACAUUAAAAUGAAUUUCAUAAAUAGCCAAACAGAUUAUAUAUCUUUGAAACCGAAAAACUGAAACCGAACCGAUAACCAAAUGGGUACGUGAAUUUUUGGAAUACAAAUGAUAUAACUACAAAUACUAAUUACAUUUAAUUUCUAGGUAAACAAAUUUUAUGAAAAUAUUGUUUAUUAACUGAAUUACCUAGAUAGUUUGUAUUCAAAAUAUUAAAAAUUGACUGAAUUGUCCGAUAUUUUUAUCCAAAAACUUGAGUUAUCCAAUAUUUAAACUGAAAACCCCAAAUUAUCUAUUUAAACUGAAAACCCCAAAUUAUCUGAUAUUUUAUCUAUAAAUUCAAAACUACCCGAAAAAAAGAAUCAAACUGGAAUCGAUUUGAACCCAAUUUUUUUGUGUUGGAAUCGGUUGGAAAUGUAAUGUUUUCGUGUUGUUUUUUCUUUUGAACGAAAUGUUUUAAGGUGGGCUUAUUGAAUUAGGGAUUUGAGAAAUUUUUCAAGAUUUUAAGAUUUAGAGGGUUUUGUUGAAUUUAAGGAUUUUGAUGGAGGGUUUUGUUGAAAUACAAGGAUUUUGAUGGAGAUUUAAAAGGAGAAUUUGGUAGGAAUGGUAAAAUCUUUUAAAAUUACUUUAACAAAAACUUAAACCAUUAAACUAUAAAAUCGUAAUCUGAUUGUUAGGUUUAUAUGAAAACAUAUAUAUCAAUGAUAUUACUAUACAAUAUAAAGAAAUAUAGUCAUGUAACGAUUGCGCGUACAGUGAAAAAAAAUUAAAACAUUCUUUGAUAGGUUGCAGAGUUCAAACAAAAGUCCAACUCUUCUACUUCUCCUCUGUUGUGUGCUAUGUGCUCCUUCACAUCUUCUCUCUGUCGGUAAUCCACCAAUAAGAGGAUUGCCUAUGUAGUUUUUUUUUCUCGUUGAAGGUGCUAAAUUGUGUGCUCUGCCUAAGACAAUUCUUCAGGGAAAUCAAGACGGAAUUCUUCAGGGUUUUCCUCUUUAGUCCCAAUCCACCAUGAUUUUCAUGUUAUCAAAAUAGUCAUCGCAUAAGACGUUUUUACCACCUCUAAAGAAUUGCAGAGUCAAGUAUCUGUUCUUCGGAUACAAGAUCGUUCCAAAAAGCUUCAUUCGACCCUGGGGGAAGCUGAGAUAGAGGACGGGGUUUUGGUAGAGAGUUGAUCGAGAUCGCGGAUGGUGACGCCGGAGAUGGGAGCGAGGAGACCAGGGAUGGGGAAGAGGAAGCGGUUCUAGAGCUAUGACGUGCGGAUGAUGUUGGAGCCGUAGUGCUUCUCUCUCAUCCGUUCUCUUGUCCCAAAUAUGAAAUAAUUGUUUUUCUUAAAUUCUAUUUCUUUAGAUGGUAUUUUUUUAUUGGAUUUGAAGAGUAAAUCAUAGUUUUUAAUAAUCUAAAAUAACUUCUGAUGAAUCUCAGUGAUGAAAUCCAUAUUUCACAAUAAGAGGUGAUUUAGUAGGGUUUUUAUAAAUGCUACAUUCAAUAAGGGAGGAUUUGUAGAACUUUUCA